AGAGCGCAGGGAGGAUGCCUUGGCAUUGGGAGCCGACGAAGGACGUGGUAAGCUGCGAAAAGCUGCGGGGAAUUGCAAGCAAGUAUUGAUCCGCAGAUGUCCGAAUGGAGCAAUCCGUUAAGAGUAAUAUCUUAACAUCAUAUACUGAAUCAAUAGGUAUAUGAGGGGAACCGCCUGAACUGAAACAUCUAAGUAGGGCGAGGAAAAGAAAUCAACCGAGAUUCCGAAAGUAGUGGCGAGCGAAAUCGGAAGAGGCUAAACCGAACUCAGAAAUGAGAUCGGGGUUUAGGACUGCAUUUAGUAUUGAAAUGAGCGAGCAGAAUGCUUUGGGAAAAGCAGCCGAAGAACGUGAGAGCCGUGUAAGCGAAGUGAGUUUCAGCGAGCAGUAUCCAAAGUACCGCGGGGCACGUGAAAUCCCGUGGGAAGAUGGGGGGACCACCCUCCAAGCCUAAAUACUACCCAAUGACCGAUAGCGAAUAGUACUGUGAAGGAAAGGUGAAAAGCACCCCGGGAGGGGAGUGAAAAAGAACCUGAAACCCUGUGCUUACAAGCACUGAGAGCUCGUCAAAGAGUGAUCAGGUACCUAUUGUAGAAUGGUCCGGCGAGUUAUGAUAUGCAGCAAGGUUAAGUACUUAAGGUACGGAGCCGCAGCGAGAGCGAGUCUGAAUAGGGCGUAAAGUUGUAUGUCAUAGACCCGAAACCGAGUGACCUAGCCAUGUCCAGGCUGAAGUGGAGGUAAAACUCCAUGGAGGGCCGAACCGACCUCCGUUGAAAAGGCGGCGGAUGAGGUGUGGCUAGCGGAGAAAUUCCAAUCGAACUCGGAUAUAGCUGGUUCUCUCCGAAAUAGCUUUAGGGCUAGCGUUGCAACAGAUUACCGGAGGUAAAGCACUGAAUAGGCUAGGGGGCGAGAGCUUACUGAACCUUAUCAAACUAAGAAUGCCGGAUAAUUGAUUUGCAGCAGUCAGACAGUGUGAGAUAAGUUUCAUUGUCAAAAGGGAAACAGCCCAGACCCACAGCUAAGGUCCCAAAGUACAUUUGAGUGGAAAAGGAUGUGGGGUUGCAUAGACAACCGGGAUGUUGGCUUAGAAGCAGCCAUACAUUAAAAGAGUGCGUAAUAGCUCACCGGUCGAGUGACCCUGCGCCGAAAAUUCAACGGGGCUAAAAUGUACACCGAAGCUUGGGAUUGUACUAUGUACAGUGGUAGGAGAGCGUCGAAUAUGGGGUGAAGUCAGAGCGGAAGCGCUGGUGGACUGUAUUCGAGUGAGAAUGCCGGAAUGAGUAGCGAGAAUUAUGUGAGAAUCAUAAUGGCCGAAAGUCUAAGGUUUUGGAAGGAAGGUUCGUCCGCUUCCAGUAAGCCGGGAGCUAAGGUGAGGCCGAAAGGCGUAGCCGAUGCACAUACGGUUGAAAUUCCGUAGCCUCCGAAGUAUUUAAACAGAAGGACACUUGAGAAGUGAUGAUGCCGGGCGAUGGUUGACCCGGUCGUAAGGGACCGAAAUUUAGUAGGGAAGUCAUCAUGGAUCGAGGCGAGAAAAGUUCUGUGAAUAUACAAGGAGCCCGUACCGCAAACCGACACAGGUAGAUAGGAAGAAAAUUCUAAGGCCAACGGGAGAAGGGUUGUUAAGGAACUCGGCAAGUUGACCCCGUAACUUCGGAAUAAGGGGUGCUCUCGAGAGAGAGCCGCAGAGAAUAGGCCCAGGCGACUGUUUAGCAAAAACACAGCUCUAUGCUAAAUCGAAAGAUGAUGUAUAUGGGGUGACACCUGCCCGGUGCCGGAAGGUUAAGAGGAGGCGUGAGAGCGCUGAAUUGAAGCCCCGGUAAACGGCGGCCGUAACUAUAACGGUCCUAAGGUAGCGAAAUUCCUUGUCAGGUAAGUUCUGACCCGCACGAAUGGUGUAACGAUCUGGGCACUGUCUCAACAACCCGCCCGGCGAAAUUGUAGUACCGGUGAAGAUGCCGGUUACCCGCGACUGUUCCGCAUCUAAGUGAACAUUUAUAAUCCCUGUUCUCUCAAGUUUAUUAAUAUGAGUAGCUUUAUCUACAUUAGAAUCCGUAAAUGGAAUAACACUGAACUGAAACACUUUAUCCGAACGGAAAGACAAACCUUCUCCUGCCUCAUCCGCCAAUUCCAUCCAACGCACAUCCGUACGGUUUCCUGUAGCCUGGGGCUUCACAUAAUAAUGGAACAUACGUUCUGCAUCUGUAUGGUAAAUUCCAAUACAUCCAGACUGAUUACGGUCUAUAUAAGUUUCAUGUUCACCACGUCCCAAAUAAGAAACCUUGUUAUAGGCAUACGGCAUUUCAAAUGCCAAGCCCACUCUAGCCAAUGAAGUAACAGCAGAAGUAUCCGGCAGGAAAGUUGUCUUUACUUUUAAUACACCAUUGCUCUGCAAAGUAUAUACAAAGGUAGCCAUUCCCAACUUUACGCCUUUAGCAUUCCAUAAUUCUACUUCCGAUUUACCACCUGUUUCAGAUGCUUUGACAAAAGUAGCUUUUUGAAUCAUAUUAUCCAAACCUUCUUUCCUCCAAACUUUGGCUCCUCCUGUUUUUUCCCUGCUGUCAUUGUCCGUAACAGGACGAUAAAGGCUGAGAACUACAGGAGAUGAAAGCAUCUCUUUACCUUUAUAUAUAUAAGAGCGUAAAGCACCGGUUGCAGGAUCAAUAUCUAUCUUCACCUUAUCAGCCAAUUUGAUUUCCGGCGCACGAUACCUUUUGUUGGCAGACAGUACAAACUGGUCAUAGGCCACUUCGUCAUGAGUUCCAAUAAAGGGAGUUGCCUUAUCAG
rnacentral:rRNA from 1 species